rnacentral:rRNA from 1 species
UACGGAGGGUGCGAGCGUUGUUCGGAAUUACUGGGCGUAAAGCGUGCGCAGGCGGUUUUGUAAGCCAGAUGUGAAAGCCCCGGGCUCAACCUGGGAAUGGCAUUUGGGACUGCAAGGCUGGAGUAUGGCAGAGGAGACUAGAAUUCCUGGUGUAGCAGUGAAAUGCGUAGAUAUCAGGAGGAAUACCGAUGGCGAAGGCAGGUCUCUGGGCCAAUACUGACGCUCAUGCACGAAAGCGUGGGGAGCAAACAGG